AAUUUAUAAAGUUUUAUUUUGGCUUAGAGUUUUAUUUUAAGUAUAUUUUAUAUGUAAUUUUUUGAGUGAUUAAAUAUUUAUUUUAAUAAUAAAUAUUAUUUAUUGAAUUCGCAGUAAUUAAUAUUAUUAAUUAAAGAAAUUUAGAAAUAGUAAUAUUUAAGAGUAUUGACAAAAUUUGUGCCAGCAGUCGCGGUUAUACAAAUAAUGCAAAUAAAAUUUUUUGGUUAUAGUUAAAUUAAUAAUUAAAUAAUAAUAAUAAAUUUGUUAGGUGAAAUUUUAAAUUUAUAAUUAUUAUAUUUAAUAAUUUUUAUUUAUAUAUUGAAGCUAGAAAAUUUUAAAUAUAAACUAGGAUUAGAUACCCUAUUAUUUAAAAUGUAAUAAAAUAAUUAAAGUAGUAAUAGUUAUGUUCUUGAAACUUAAAAAAUUUGGCGGUAUUUUAGUCUAUUCAGAGGAACCUGUUCUGUAAUCGAUAAUCCACGUUGGACCUUACUUAAAUUUGUAUUUCAAUUUAUAUACCGUCGUUAUAGAAUAUUUUAUAAGAAUAAUAAUUUUCAAUAAUUUUAAAAAGAAUUUAUAUCAGAUCAAGGUGUAGUUUAUGUUUAAGUAGAAAUGGGUUACAAUAAAAUUAUUUAUGAAUUUAAAUAUGAAAAAUUUAUUGAAAUUGGAUUUGAAAGUAAAAUUAUAAAGAUUAAUAAUUUGAUUUUAGCUCUAAAAUAUGUACACAUCGCCCGUCGCUCUUAUUAAUAAGAUAAGAUAAGUCGUAACAUAGUAGAUGUACCGGAAGGUGUAUCUAGAAUU
rnacentral:ncRNA from 1 species